AGAGUUUGAUCCUGGCUCAGGAUGAACGCUGGCGGCGUGCUUAACACAUGCAAGUCGAACGGAGAUAUCAUUUUCGAAGCGAUUAGUUUACUAAGAGUGGAGAUGUUGAUAUCUUAGUGGCGGACGGGUGAGUAACGCGUGGGUAACCUGCCUUACACUGGGGGAUAACACUUAGAAAUAGGUGCUAAUACCGCAUAAUGAGAGGAGACGCAUGUCUUCUGUCUGAAAACUCCGGUGGUGUAAGAUGGACCCGCGUCUGAUUAGCCAGUUGGCGGGGUAACGGCCCACCAAAGCGACGAUCAGUAGCCGGCCUGAGAGGGUGAACGGCCACAUUGGGACUGAGACACGGCCCAAACUCCUACGGGAGGCAGCAGUGGGGAAUAUUGGACAAUGGGGGGAACCCUGAUCCAGCGACGCCGCGUGAGUGAAGAAGUAUUUCGGUAUGUAAAGCUCUAUCAGCAGGGAAGAAAGAAAUGACGGUACCUGACUAAGAAGCCCCGGCUAACUACGUGCCAGCAGCCGCGGUAAUACGUAGGGGGCAAGCGUUAUCCGGAUUUACUGGGUGUAAAGGGAGCGUAGACGGCAGUGCAAGUCUGAAGUGAAAGGCGGGGGCCCAACCCCCGGACUGCUUUGGAAACUGUGCUGCUGGAGUGCAGGAGAGGCAAGUGGAAUUCCUAGUGUAGCGGUGAAAUGCGUAGAUAUUAGGAGGAACACCAGUGGCGAAGGCGGCUUGCUGGACUGUAACUGACGUUGAGGCUCGAAAGCGAGGGGAGCAAACAGGAUUAGAUACCCUGGUAGUCCACGCCGUAAACGAUGA
rnacentral:rRNA from 1 species